UACAGAGGGUGCGAGCGUUAAUCGGAAUUACUGGGCGUAAAGCGUGCGUAGACGGUUUUGUAAGUCGGAUGUGAAAUCCCCGGGCUCAACCUGGGAAUUGCAUUCGAGACUGCAAGGCUUGGGUGCGGAAGAGGGAAGCGGAAUUUCCGGUGUAGCGGUGAAAUGCGUAGAUAUCGGAAGGAACAUCAGCGGCGAAAGCGGCUUCCUGGUCCAGCACCGACGUUCAGGCACGAAAGCGUGGGGAGCAAACAGG
rnacentral:rRNA from 1 species